rnacentral:rRNA from 1 species
GACGAACGCUGGCGGCGUGCCUAAUACAUGCAAGUUGAGCGCUGAAGGUUGGUACUUGUACCAACUGGAUGAGCAGCGAACGGGUGAGUAACGCGUGGGGAAUCUGCCUUUGAGCGGGGGACAACAUUUGGAAACGAAUGCUAAUACCGCAUAAAAACUUUAAACACAAGUUUUAAGUUUGAAAGAUGCAAUUGCAUCACUCAAAGAUGAUCCCGCGUUGUAUUAGCUAGUUGGUAAGGUAAAGGCUCACCAAGGCGAUGAUACAUAGCCGACCUGAGAGGGUGAUCGGCCACAUUGGGACUGAGACACGGCUCAAACUCCUACGGGAGGCAGCAGUAGGGAAUCUUCGGCAAUGGACGAAAGUCUGACCGAGCAACGCCGCGUGAGUGAAGAAGGUUUUCGGAUCGUAAAACUCUGUUGGUAGAGAAGAACGUUGGUGAGAGUGGAAAGCUCAUCAAGUGACGGUAACUACCCAGAAAGGGACGGCUAACUACGUG